AGAGUUUGAUCAUGGCUCAGAACGUACGCUGGCGGCACGCCUAAUACAUGCAAGUCGAACGAAGUAGCAAUACUUAGUGGCAGACGGGUGAGUAACAUGUGGGUAUCUUCCCUUUGGUGAGGAAUAACACGAGGAAACUUGUGCUAAUACCUCAUAAGUCUUUACGGAGAAAGCUUUAUGCGCCAUUGGAUGAGCCUGCACUUGAUUAGUUUGUUGGUGGGGUAAUGGCCUACCAAGACAAUGAUCAAUAGCUGAUUUGAGAGGAUGAUCAGCCACAUUGGGACUGAGACACGGCCCAAACUCCUACGGGAGGCAGCAGUAGGGAAUCUUGCACAAUGGAGGAAACUCUGAUGCAGCGAUGCCGCGUGAGUGAAGAAGGCCUUUGGGUUGUAAAGCUCUUUCGUCGGGGAAGAAAAUGACUGUACCCGAAUAAGAAGGUCCGGCUAACUUCGUGCCAGCAGCCGCGGUAAUACGAAGGGACCUAGCGUAGUUCGGAAUUACUGGGCUUAAAGAGCUCGUAGGUGGUUAGAAAAGUUAGUGGUGAAAUCCCAAGGCUUAACCUUGGAACUGCCACUAAAACUUUUUAACUAGAGUAUGGUAGAGGUAAGCGGAAUUUCUAGUGUAGAGGUGAAAUUCGUAGAUAUUAGAAAGAACACCAAUUGCGAAGGCAGCUUUCUGGAUCAUUACUGACACUGAGGAGCGAAAGCAUGGGUAGCGAAGAGGAUUAGAUACCCUCGUAGUCCAUGCUGUAAACGAUGUGUGCUAGACGUUGGAAAUUUAUUUUUCAGUGUCGCAGCAAAAGCGAUAAGCACACCGCCUGGGGAGUACGACCGCAAGGUUAAAACUCAAAUGAAUUGACGGGGACCCGCACAAGUAGUGGAGCAUGUGGUUUAAUUCGAAGAUACGCGCAGAACCUUACCAACACUUGACAUGUUCGUCGCGACUCUAAGAGAUUAGAGUUUUCGGUUCGGCCGGACGAAACACAGGUGCUGCAUGGCUGUCGUCAGCUCGUGUCGUGAGAUGUUGGGUUAAGUCCCGCAACGAGCGCAACCCUUACUUUUAGUUGCUACCAUUUAGUUGGGCACUCUAAAAGAACUGCCAGUGAUAAGCUGGAGGAAGGUGGGGAUGACGUCAAGUCCUCAUGGCCCUUACGUGUUGGGCUACACACGUGCUACAAUGGUACUUACAAUGGGAAGCAAAGAGGCGACUCUAAGCAAAUCCCAAAAAGGUACCUCAGUUCGGAUUGUACUCUGCAACUCGAGUACAUGAAGCUGGAAUUACUAGUAAUCGCGGAUCAGCGCGCCGCGGUGAAUACGUUCCCGGGUCUUGUACACACCGCCCGUCACACCAUGGAAGUUGGUUACACCUUAAGGCAAAAUGUUAACCUUCGGGAAACAUUUGACUACGGUACGAUCAGCGACUGGGGUGAAGUCGUAACAAGGUAGCC
rnacentral:rRNA from 1 species